rnacentral:rRNA from 1 species
UACGGAAGGGGGCUAGCGUUGCUCGGAAUUACUGGGCGUAAAGCGCACGUAGGCGGCUUUCUAAGUCGGAGGUGAAAUCCUGGAGCUCAACUCCAGAACUGCCUUCGAUACUGGAGCUUGAGUCCGGGAGAGGUGAGUGGAACUGCGAGUGUAGAGGUGAAAUUCGUAGAUAUUCGCAAGAACACCAGUGGCGAAGGCGGCUCACUGGCCCGGUACUGACGCUGAGGUGCGAAAGCCAGGGGA